rnacentral:lncRNA from 1 species
AACUCAGUCUCGCAAAUCGCAUAGGACUUCUCCUUUUCUAUCAAGAUCGAUAAAUUCCAUCUAGAUGCAUCCUACUCCAAUUAGCGAAUCUGAACCUACUGAAGCUAGCAUACACAACAAGGAUCUAAAUGACUAGGAACCAAAAAAAUAUGUAGUCAAACUCAAUAGCCUCACUGCGAAUAGCCAAUGACAUUGUAGGUCAAAGGAUCACUCACACCACUGC